UACUUUUAGUAUUUAUGAACUAUAUAAACAAUCUAUAGGCAUAUUAAUAUUAGUUUUUAUCUCCUUAUGAAAUGCUAUAUGUUGUCUACACCAAGUAUUUAUAGUAUUUAUGAUCUAUAUAAAUUGUGUACAUAAAUCCUAAUAGUAAAUUUAAACCAGUCACGGGGUUUGAAAUCCUAAUAGUAAAUUUAAGCUUCUUUUACGAAUUUUUACACAUAACCUCCCAGAUUAUAUGAUUGAUAGAUAUUGCACCUUACAAAUUUUUUUAUAAUAUCCACAAUAUAGGAGGGGCUAUCUCUAAAAAUCCUUAGGUCUAGUAACUUCGCCGGACUUUUUGGUUGCACUUCCCACGAGAACUAUUACAUGGAAACCCUUGUCAACUUAACAAUGCUACUAGACCUUUGCUCUCUCUCUCUCUCUCUCUCUCUCUCUCUCGCUCCCCCCCACUCUGUAGGUGUUCUUCUCGAUCGCCGGAGGUCGAUGAUUCAAGGACCGCCGAAUUGUUUCAUAAACCCUAAAGAACGAAGCAGGCGAUGUCUCGGAACAAACUCCUCCAAUCCAAAGCCAUUGUACAACACUUCUCCUCCCACCUGUAAAAAGAGGUUGCUAACAUCAAGCAUUGGACUGUGGCAAUGAAAAUCAAUCUGUUUGAUUAGAAGAAAAAUAAAUGAAACCUUGAGAGAUUUGUCUAGUUUCCCAGCCAGUGCAAGCAGCAAAGUAGUUUUCCCACAUCCUGGAGGCCCAAGCAAGAGUGUCAUCCUGCAAGUUGAACAAGUCUAGGUUAGUAAAAGUUUAAACAAAAAAGAGUAUGAAAAUUCCUGCCAAUAUUCUGCUUUUCAAAUAAAUACAACUGAACAAAAGCAUUAUUUCUUCUUUCCACAGAAACAGUUAUCAAAGGGCUUUAAUCCGCGAGAAGUAUUUUGUGUCUGUAAUUGGAAAGAUCAAUUUACAUGCCAAUAAUAACAUAAAAUUUGAUUCAAAAAGAAAAUGAAGCCUACCUGUCUAUUCUCUCUCUUUGCUUCCGAAGCAGCCGAAGGUUAUCAUUCUCGAUGUGCUUGAUGAGAUUCUCAAUGAACAAGCGCCUCUCUAGAGCUCCAAGCUUGGCAACCUCUCAAUGGCAGCCCACUUCAGCUCAUCUUCAUCAUCACCCCUUGUGGAACUGCUGAAACUUCCCCGAAAACUUGAUGCAGCAAACUGAAAGGAUGACCUUAUGCUCCUCCCUAUCUCUUCUAUCUCCUUACCAACAGACUUGUCUUCGUUUUUGCCAAGCAACUGAGCCAUCUUCUCGGGAGGUUUUGAGCCCUUUGCUUUGGAGGCUUCCAAGUAAUGACCUGAAAUAUAUAAAGCAGUCGUGUGAGUCCUUUCAAUGUAUGAUGGCGUAGGACACUGCAUCACUAGAACUUGCUCACUAGGAAAUCUUCGUGGGAAAGAAAUAAAAGAAGCGACAGAAGUUAUCGAUGGUAUUUUAAAAUAUUUUAUAUUUUAAGUUCCUAUCUCUUCUAUCUUUUAAAUAUAUAAAUCUUGUAUCAGUGAGCUGACUACAACUCUUCAAUGGCUCUCUGCUUUUUAUAUAUCUUGUGGUGAUCACUCCAAAUUCUGGUAAUCAUGUAACCAGCUUACGCAACCAACAGCUUGUGUCAUGGCCUGAGCAUUAGCUCAGUGCUGACACCCCCACUUCCGAGAGUGGGUCCAAGGUGGGGUAGGAGUAGUUUGCUUCCCUCCUAUUUCCUGCAUGGAAUUGUCCGGGCUGGGUUCACAAGUGAAAAUCUCAGAAAUGCCCGAGUACCUACUCUUCUCUUACAGGGAUUUGCCCCCCUAUUGAGAGAGAGAGAGAGAGAGAGAGAGAGAGAGAGAGAGAGUCAUGAGGUGGCAUGCUCGCAGCUCUAUGCUUGUAUUUGAUAAUGAUAGUUCUAAUGUCCUUCAAAAAGAAGAGAUAUCUUGCAUGG